UGCAGCCAUCAGAAGUUCCAGUGCAAUUUCAGGUGCAAUUGGGAAUUCAGGAAUCUCCGUAGAGCUGUUAGUAUAGCGGACCUUGUAGGUGAAAUACAUGCAUACUUUGGAUAGGACAUGGGAUGGGAUCUCUCUAAAAUUCACCUCAUUUGUUUCAUUUUCUGCAAACUGUCCUGGUCCACUCAACAUAGCUUUUAUUGUUCCUGAUGUUAAUGCAUGCUCUCUUUUUACAAUGAACUCAUGGCCAUCAGAAGAUAUUAACUUCACAUACAUAGCAUCUGGGCCCUCACACCCACCAUAUGUUUUCUCUUCUCCAUCCAUUCUCUGCUUAUAAAAAAAUUAUUUCUUUUCAACAGCAGCUUUUGCAAUAGGAGCGUCCGUCGGUGCCGCUCCCUCCGCCCCGCUCGCAGGGCCCCCGCCGUAUCGGGCCAGCUGCCUUCCAAGCGCUUCCGCUG
rnacentral:lncRNA from 1 species